GAAGAGCAUAAUUCAAUCUUUAAGGUUGGCAGACUUCAAUCUUAGUCAUUUGAACUAACUUCUGUGAUUUUAUAUUAGUGGUUUUAUUUUGUUUUACCUUUGUUAAGUUUGUGAUGCUUUCCGUAUUUGCUUGAUUUAUCUUGAUUGAUGCAAUAAGCUGAUCCUUUAGAAAUACUGUAAUGCUUCGCAUUACUGUAUUGCUGACUGCUGAGAAUUGGUUUUGAGCCUUUUUCUUGUAAUUUCUAUGUAGAAGUUUGUUUACCAUUAUGCUAAUCUUAUCUUAGCAUUGGUCUAGGUGUUUUCAAGUGAUAAACAUAGAGUGAUUUCAUGGUCUCUGUGUACACUGGUUCUGACUUCUCUUACUUUCUCAUAGCUGUUGAGUUUUUAGAAUCUUUGAUGCUCAUCACCUGCCAUUGGAAAAAAGUGUCAAUUAUUCUUAUAUAUGCACAGGUGAAACACCAAUUGUUGUGACAUUGGUGAGUUUUACUUUAUUUUAUAGAUAGAUGUUACGAUGGUGAAAUUUAGUUAGGUGUAGCCUACAAUAAGUUUUUGCACUGAAGUUCAAAAAGGGGAAAAGGAAGGAGUAGGGGAGUUUUGCUUGGCGAGGAAAAUAGAUUUGGGAACUUUUGUUCCAGUUCUUCUUGGCUCUAAUGCCCAUUUUGCACAUUUAAGUUGGAUAUAUAGAGCUGGAUGUUACUGAAUUGACAUUAAGGUUUCAAAUUGCCACUGAUUUUUCAUCGCAUCUGGUAAGAACUUGUAGCUUUUUUAUUUUGUAUUUAUUUUAAAAUUUAACCAUUCUAGGUGAUUACUGUAGCUUGAUUGAAUCAUCAAGUAUAUGGCUGUUGGUCUUUUUGUUUAUAAAGCAUAGAAAGCUUUCCUGUCUUCCUAAGUUCUAAUUCCCUCAUCAACUUGUAGAAGUCAUUUACAUUAGAAUCUUUUCCAUAUAAUAAGAUGCAUUCAUUCUCUACUCUAAGGUCAUUAUUUCUUUAGAUUUUGUUAUUUAUUAUUACACUAGAUGAUUUUGCACCUAUCAUUCCUUCUUAACUUUGUGCAUAGAAUUUCUUGAAUGCAGGACUGGAACUUCAUUCUUUCUGGGCUUCAUUUAUUAUGGGGAGUUUUGAUUUUCUGAUGUUCUUUAUUAUAUUUGAUUAUAUAUUGAGAGAAAUAAAAUGAACAUCAUAAAUCAUUAAAUCGUUUGAAGGUGGUUUUGAAGCAUGCAGUGCUACAAAGCCUUCAGGUUUGCCCUUUCCAAAUUGCAGAAGACUAUGAAACAUCAUUAGUGCCAUUAAUCAAUUACUCUACUUGUGUUUGUUGCUUUUAUGUGCUGUCAUAGUUGUGUUGUAGGAAAAUACUGUAAAUUCUGUUGACUAAUGAUUGUGUCAUUGUAUUCAUGCAGCAAAGAUGUACAUACAGUAAAG
rnacentral:misc_RNA from 1 species